AAACUAACAAGGAUUCCCCUAGUAACGGCGAGUGAAGCGGGAAGAGCUCAAAUUUGAAAUCUGGCAGUCUUCGAUUGUCCGAGUUGUAAUCUAUAGAGGCGUUUUCCGUGCCGGACCGUGUCCAAGUCUCCUGGAAAGGAGUAUCAAAGAGGGUGAUAAUCCCGUACUUAACACGACCACCGGUGCUCUGUGAUACGUCUUCUACGAGUCGAGUUGUUUGGGAAUGCAGCUCAAAAUGGGUGGUGAAUUCCAUCUAAAGCUAAAUAUUGGCGAGAGACCGAUAGCGAACAAGUACCGUGAGGGAAAGAUGAAAAGCACUUUGGAAAGAGAGUUAAACAGUACGUGAAAUUGUUGAAAGGGAAACGAUUGAAGUCAGUCGUGUUCUUUGGAUUCAGCCAGUUCUGCUGGUCUACUUCCUUUGAACGGGUCAACAUCAGUUUUGUCCGGUGGAUAAAGGCAGUAGGAAUGUAGCUUCUCCGGAAGUGUUAUAGCCUAUUGUCACAUACACUGGGUGAGACUGAGGACUGCAGCUCGCCUUUAUGGCCGACCUUCGGGUACGUUCGAGCUUAGGAUGUUGACAUAAUGGCUUUAAACGACC
rnacentral:rRNA from 1 species